UCUGGAGACCAGACGUCCUUCUCCUGGCCUGGCAAUCAGUGUGACACUCACCACAGUGCCAAUUGUGUGGUCAUGCAGGGGAAGAAAUGGAAGGUCAACCUGGUCCUUUUCAAGGGUUCCUCAUCAGUGAGGCAAUGGUGAAGAAAGAUUUACGCCACAGUCCUAGAUGAGGUUUUUUUCAAGCCAGCCUUAGACCGAAAUGGGGAGGUAAGGCAGCACCAAGAGAUAUCUGUGGAUAGAACAGUUACCCUUUUCCUGGAUAGUUUCCAUGGGUAUGUUCAAAAAGAUAAGCGUACCUCUUCGAAAUUGAAAUGGAACAAGUUCUGGAAGUGGACGAUGGAUGUAAACUCCCCCCCCCCCGAUUACUUGAUGUGUAUGUAUAUUUGAGUGACUGUAACAACUAUUGUAAAUGUUUAUACACGUGUUAUGACCAGGAUGGUUCUCCAGCUUUAUGUUUAUGUUUGUAUAAUUUUGUAUAUAUGUAUUGCUCAACCUCUCCUUUUGUAUAUGCGGGUAACCUGGUAACAUAAUGUAAGCUAUUAGUAGUUUGUUGUUUCAAUAAACAAUUCUCCAACCAA